rnacentral:rRNA from 1 species
AACGAACGCUGGCGGCGUGGAUAAGACAUGCAAGUCGAACGGAUUUUCAUCUGUAGCAAUACAGGUGGGAGUCAGUGGCGCAAGGGUGCGUAACACGUGGGCAACCUGCCCUGGGGUUCAGGAUAGCCCGCCGAAAGGCGGAUUAAUACUGGAUGUGGCUAACCGGCGAUUGUCGGUGACGCUAAAGGUGGCGCAAGCUGCCGCUCCUGGAUGGGCCCGCGGCCAUCAGCUUGUUGGUGAGGUAACGGCUCACCAAGGCGAUGACGGGUAGCUGGUCUGAGAGGACGACCAGCCACACUGGAACUGAGACACGGUCCAGACACCUACGGGUGGCAGCAGUCGAGAAUUUUUCGCAAUGGGGCAACCCUGACGGAGCGACGCCGCGUGGAGGAUGAAGGUCUUCGG